rnacentral:rRNA from 1 species
UACGUAGGGGGCAAGCGUUGUCCGGAAUCAUUGGGCGUAAAGAGCGUGUAGGUGGCUCGGUAAGUCCGCUGUGAAAGUCCAGGGCUCAACCCUGGAAAGCCGGUGGAAACUGUCGAGCUCGAGUCCGGAAGAGGCGAGUGGAAUUCCUGGUGUAGCGGUGAAAUGCGCAGAUAUCAGGAAGAACACCCGUGGCGAAAGCGGCUCUCUGGAACGGUACUGACGCUGAGACGCGAAAGCGUGGGGAGCGAACAGG